GCAGCUUCGAACACUCUCUUCAGGCGGAGCACCUCUUUUUCCUGAACUUGGCCGAUCCUUCGAGCAUAUUAAGAUCCGAGGAACACAAUUUUUCGUUGUGCAAAUGCACCGCACCCCGGAAAAGUACACGCCUCGUACGUGUCACGCACGUACGCACACACGCGCGAGACGCGACAAUCCGCGGCAACGCAACAAUACGGCACCCACUAUCGGCCACACACGAGAAUUCGCAAACUUUUUGACGCCUUUUCGUCUGGCCUGGGUGUAUUCUACAGCAGGCGAAUUCUCCGUCAAUGAUGAGUGGCGCUCUAUGUUGGUCAAAUAUUAAACUAAAAAAUAUUAUCGAUGAUGGUAUAUGACUAUAUGGUACACUACUAAUAGUAGGACCAGGUAAUAAUCCCAUUACAUCAUUCAAACCUUGCCAACCAUUGGGUUGUACAAGUUGUUCUGCUAAUCGAACACUUAAUGGUGCAUAUAUAGAAUGAACAUAACUAAUAUCUUUUGGCGUAAUUUCACUUUCAUCUUCAACAGUAAGUCUUAAUGCUUUUCGUAAUACUGUAUAUUUGCGUGUAGAUUGUUGUUGUUUUAGUAAUCCAGCUUUUUCUAAAUUUAAUAUAGUUGGUAAAUUUUGAUAUCCAUAUGUUUGUAUUAUUUCUCUUUUAUAAUAGUCUAAUAAUUUUGGUUUAAGUCCAGAAUUCGUUAAAGAUUGUAUACAAAGUAGUCGUAAAACUUUUAAAAGUGGUUGUUGUUGUACUAUCAUAUCUUCUAUAUAAGUAUUUGGUUUAUCUGUAUCUAUACAAUUUAAUAACUCUUGUUCAACUUGUAAUGAUUCUAAAAAACUACUGGAAUCUGUAACUUCUUUUAUCAUUUCUGCUAUUGUUGUAUCUAAGAAAGAAAUAAAAAUGUAUUUAUGAAA